GUGGAUGAUGUGGUUUAAUUCGAUGCAACGCGAAAAACCUUACCCACCUUUGACAUGUACGGAAGUUACCAGAGAUGGUUUCGUGCUCGAAAGAGAACCGUAACACAGGUGCUGCAUGGCUGUCGUCAGCUCGUGUCGUGAGAUGUUGGGUUAAGUCCCGCAACGAGCGCAACCCUUGUCAUUAGUUGCUACGAAAGGGCACUCUAAUGAGACUGCCGGNGACAAACCGGAGGAAGGUGGGGAUGACGUCAAGUCCUCAUGGCCCUUAUAGGUGGGGCUACACACGUCAUACAAUGGCUGGUACAGAGGGUUGCCAACCCGCGAGGGGGAGCUAAUCCCAUAAAACCAGUCGUAGUCCGGAUCGCAGUCUGCAACUCGACUGCGUGAAGUCGGAAUCGCUAGUAAUCGCGGAUCAGAAUGUCGCGGUGAAUACGUUCCCGGGUCUUGUACACACCGCCCGUCACA
rnacentral:rRNA from 1 species